rnacentral:rRNA from 1 species
AUGACAUCGAUGAUGCGGUUGAUGUGGUGGCAGUUGGUGCCGGUUGGGGAAGCUGUAGUAGCAGCCGAAUCAGCCGCGACCCAUCUCUGGCUGGCACAGUCCAUUGAGGCACCUGCGCCGGCCCCCGCCCGCUACCCCGUCGCGCCACCACAAGCAUCGCUGGCAGCAUCGACAGCGCUACCGCCGACGUAUCCGCGGCGGGCAGCGCCGGCGCCAGGUGCACCCGCCGUCCCUUCCCUUGGUACUGCUUCUUCACCACCUCACUUCAAUUGUAGUAGUACUACUUAUGCACUGGCAGCGCGGCCGGGUUCAGUGGCCACCACUGGUCGAUGGCAGCAGGGCGGGGAGUUGGUGGGGUUCGCUGGCUGA